UACGUAGGGUGCGAGCGUUGUCCGGAAUUAUUGGGCGUAAAGAGCUCGUAGGCGGUUCGUCACGUCGGGUGUGAAAAUCCAGGGCUCAACCCUGGACCUGCAUCCGAUACGGGCGGACUAGAGUUCGGUAGGGGAGACUGGAAUUCCUGGCGUAGCGGUGAAAUGCGCAGAUAUCAGGAGGAACACCGGUGGCGAAGGCGGGUCUCUGGGCCGAUACUGACGCUGAGGAGCGAAAGCGUGGGGAGCGAACAGG
rnacentral:rRNA from 1 species